GAUGAACGCUGGCGGCGUGCCUAAUACAUGCAAGUCGAGCGAACGGACGAGAAGCUUGCUUCUCUGAUGUUAGCGGCGGACGGGUGAGUAACACGUGGAUAACCUACCUAUAAGACUGGGAUAACUUCGGGAAACCGGAGCUAAUACCGGAUGAUAUUUUGAACCGCAUGGUUCAAAAGUGAAAGACGGUCUUGCUGUCACUUAUAGAUGGAUCCGCGCUGCAUUAGCUAGUUGGUAAGGUAACGGCUUACCAAGGCAACGAUGCAUAGCCGACCUGAGAGGGUGAUCGGCCACACUGGAACUGAGACACGGUCCAGACUCCUACGGGAGGCAGCAGUAGGGAAUCUUCCGCAAUGGGCGAAAGCCUGACGGAGCAACGCCGCGUGAGUGAUGAAGGUCUUCGGAUCGUAAAACUCUGUUAUUAGGGAAGAACAUAUGUGUAAGUAACUGUGCACAUCUUGACGGUACCGAAGCAGAAAGCCACGGCUAACUACGG
rnacentral:rRNA from 1 species